GAGUUUGAUCCUGGCUCAGGAUGAACGCUAGCGGGAGGCUUAACACAUGCAAGUCGAGGGGCAGCAUAGGGUAGCAAUACUCUGAUGGCGACCGGCAAACGGGUGAGUAACGCGUAUGUAACCUACCCUGUACAGGGGGAUAACCCGGAGAAACUCGGACUAAUAUCCCAUAACAAUAUCCGGGGGCAUCUUUGGAUAUUUAAAGUUCCGGCGGUACGGGAUGGGCAUGCGUAACAUUAGCUAGUUGGUAAGGUAACGGCUUACCAAGGCUUUGAUGUUUAGGGGUCCUGAGAGGGUGGUCCCCCACACUGGUACUGAGACACGGACCAGACUCCUACGGGAGGCAGCAGUGAGGAAUAUUGGUCAAUGGGCGCAAGCCUGAACCAGCCAUCCCGCGUGCAGGAAGACGGCGCUAUGCGUUGUAAACUGCUUUUCCAGGGAGAGAAACUUGCGCACGUGUUGCGCAAUUGACGGUACCCUGGGAAUAAGCAUCGGCUAACUCCGUGCCAGCAGCCGCGGUAAUACGGAGGAUGCGAGCGUUAUCCGGAUUCAUUGGGUUUAAAGGGUGCGUAGGCGGACUAUUAAGUCAGUGGUGAAAUCCUGCAGCUUAACUGCAGAACUGCCAUUGAUACUGAUAGCCUUGAGUUUGGUUAAGGUAGGCGGAAUGUGUAAUGUAGCGGUGAAAUGCUUAGAUAUUACACAGAACACCAAUUGCGUAGGCAGCUUACUGAGCCGACACUGACGCUGAGGCACGAAAGCGUGGGGAUCGAACAGGAUUAGAUACCCUGGUAGUCCACGCCGUAAACGAUGAUUACUCGCUGUUGGCGAUACACUGUCAGCGGCUAAGCAAAGCAUAAGUAAUCCACCUGGGGAGUACGGCC
rnacentral:rRNA from 1 species